rnacentral:rRNA from 1 species
GAUGAACGCUGGCGGCGUGCUUAACACAUGCAAGUCGAACGAGAAAUGGAGACGGAAACCUUCGGGCUGAAGGCUUCAUUUCGAGUGGCGGACGGGUGAGUAACGCGUGGGUAACCUGCCUCAUGCAGGGGGAUAACAGUUGGAAACGACUGUUAAUACCGCAUAAGACCACAGCACCGCAUGGUGCGGGGGUAAAAACUCCGGUGGUAUGAGAUGGACCCGCGUUCGAUUAGCCAGUUGGCGGGGUAACGGCCCACCAAAGCGACGAUCGAUAGCCGAUCUGAGAGGAUGACCGGCCACAUUGGGACUGAGACACGGCCCAAACUCCUACGGGAGGCAGCAGUGGGGAAUAUUGCACAAUGGGGGAAACCCUGAUGCAGCGACGCCGCGUGAGUGAAGAAGUACUUCGGUAUGUAAAGCUCUAUCAGCAGGGAAGAAAAUGACGGUACCUGAGUAAGAAGCCCCGGCUAACUACGUG